GACGAACGCUGGCGGCGUGCUUAACACAUGCAAGUCGAACGAAGAGCGAUGGAAGCUUGCUUCUAUCAAUCUUAGUGGCGAACGGGUGAGUAACGCGUAAUCAACCUGCCCUUCAGAGGGGGACAACAGUUGGAAACGACUGCUAAUACCGCAUACGAUCUAACUUCGGCAUCGAGGAUAGAUGAAAGGUGGCCUCUACAUGUAAGCUAUCACUGAAGGAGGGGAUUGCGUCUGAUUAGCUAGUUGGAGGGGUAACGGCCCACCAAGGCGAUGAUCAGUAGCCGGUCUGAGAGGAUGAACGGCCACAUUGGGACUGAGACACGGCCCAGACUCCUACGGGAGGCAGCAGUGGGGAAUCUUCCGCAAUGGACGAAAGUCUGACGGAGCAACGCCGCGUGAGUGAUGACGGCCUUCGGGUUGUAAAGCUCUGUUAAUCGGGACGAAAGGCCUUCUUGCGAAUAGUUAGAAGGAUUGACGGUACCGGAAUAGAAAGCCACGGCUAACUACGUG
rnacentral:rRNA from 1 species